AAAGAUGGAAAUGACAAACUGGAGGUAUGUUAAAUUUCUUUCGCCAUACUUUAAAAUUGUUUGAAUUGUCGCUAUUGUGAAAACAUUUGCGAUUACUUUUGACCAAGAAUUUUCCACGGUGUCAAGCCCGAGUAAGCCCCGUGAAGCAGAGGAUUGGAAUAGCGAUAAGGACGCCGACCUGUUAAGCACGCCGACGGUUAUUUUCAGAGAUAAUCGUGAAGGGACUGUCCACAGACAACAUAAGCGGAAAAGAACGGAUAGUUUUAACGACACUGCCGAUGAUGAAUUGUUGAUCGCUGCGGCUGAAAAAAUUGAAGCGGGUCUAGCGACGGCAGAAACUUCAACCGACGGCGCUCAGAGCGAACCUGAAGAACAGUUGGAAUCUACGCCGCCGGGUACUCCUACUACAGGGGUUGUGACGCCGGACCAAGGGUUCCCA